rnacentral:tRNA from 1 species
GAGGGUAUAGCUCAAGUGGUAGACCUCAUGCUUAUCAUGCAUGAGGUCCUGGGUUCAAUUCCCAGUACCUCCU